rnacentral:rRNA from 1 species
AGUGAACGCUGGCGGUAGGCCUAACACAUGCAAGUCGAACGGCAGCACAGUAAGGGCUUGCUCUUACGGGUGGCGAGUUGCGGACGGGUGAGGAAUACAUCGGAAUCUACUUUUUCGUGGGGGCUAACGUAGGGAAACUUGCGCUAAUACCGCAGACGACCUACGAGUGAAAUCAGGGGAUCUUCGGACCUUUCGGGAUUGUAUGCGAGGAUGUCGGAUUAGCUAGUUGGCGGGGUAAAGGCCAACCAAGGCGACGAUCGGUAGCUGGUCUGAGAGGAUGAUCAGCCACACUGGAACUGAGACACGGUCCAGACGCCUACGGGAGGCAGCAGUGGGCAAUAUUGGACAAUGGGCGCAAGCCUGAUCCAGCCAUACCGCGUGGGUGAAGAAGGCCUUCGGGUUGUAAAGCCCGUUUGUUGGGAAAGAAAAGCAGCAGGUUAAUACCCCGCUGUUCUGACGGUGCCCAAAGAAUAAGCACCGGCUAACUUCGUG